GAUGGGGGGCAACGUGGGA
rnacentral:misc_RNA from 1 species